rnacentral:rRNA from 1 species
CCUACGGGCGGCAGCAGUGGGGAAUAUUGCGCAAUGGGCGAAAGCCUGACGCAGCGACGCCGCGUGAGGGAUGAAGGUCUUCGGAUCGUAAACCUCUGUCAGCAGGGAAGAACGGUCACUGUGCUAAUCAGCAGUGAAUUGACGGUACCUGCAAAGGAAGCACCGGCUAACUCCGUGCCAGCAGCCGCGGUAAUACGGAGGGUGCGAGCGUUAAGCGGAAUUACUGGGCGUAAAGCGCUCGUAGGCGGUAUGUCAAGUCAAGGGUGAAAUCCCCGCGCUCAACGUGGGAAGUGCCUUUGAAACUGGCAAACUGGAGUGUGUGAGAGGAUAGUGGAAUUCCAGGUGUAGGAGUGAAAGCCGUAGAUAUCUGGAGGAACAUCAGUGGCGAAGGCGACUAUCUGGCACAUAACUGACGCUGAGGAGCGAAAGCGUGGGUAGCAAACAGGAUUAGAUACCCCAGUAGUC